rnacentral:lncRNA from 1 species
CAUCUCGAAUUUGUCACAAUCUUUCAGCAAUAUAUUAUCAAACUAUAUAUCGUUACAAACAUAUAUGUUGUUACAACCACUCAUCUAUGUAGCCAAAUUACAUUUGUAGCUAUACAUUAAUUAUUAUUUUUUGGUGUAACUAAAAUAUACAAAAAUGAAGAAAUAAAAUAAAUUAAGGUAAAACAUAAACACUGUUGAUGUCGUGGGAUAUAUCAAAAGUGCAGCUUCCAGCUUCGGAUGAUCUUCUGAUAAUUAUUGCGCAGAAAGCAAAAAAUGGUAAAAAUGUUCUCAGAUCUGACCAGAAUCUCUUAAAACAAACUUAUAUUGAAAGUGUAUUUUUUUCCCCUUCAACACCAGAGUCCGUCGUGCUCUCUGUUACCCUUCAUCUUAUUGCUCGAGUCGAAUUUUUAUCUUUUCUCUCCUUCCACGAGGGUUCUCCGUUUCUCUCGUUAGUCCCCGUCUGCUAGGAAAACACACCACCAAAGCGUAGCAGAUGAUGUAUCAGUGGAGAUCAACUCCCUCUUUCUCUUAACCCCAACGACAAGCACUCUCUCUUUUUCUUAUCUCGUAAACGGCUGCAGCCCCUUUUUUUUUAGGGUGAAUGAAAGUGCAUACGCAUAUAUACACACCGUGCCCCUAGUUUUAGGGUUUAUGGGAUAAUGGAUUUUCAUUGGGC